rnacentral:snoRNA from 12 species
GUGCCCUUUUGAGGUUGAUGCAGUUCUUAAAAAGGCUAACACAGAAGGGUAGAAUUAGUCUUCAUAAAACCCAGAAAAGAGUUUAUAAAGUUCCUCUUUGUAUCCUGUCUGGAAUCACAGUU